GUUUCUGAAGACCUUUUUGAGAGGUCUUUGGAGUAACAGAGAACAGCAAGCAACUUGUGAUCUACAAAGGAAAAAGGCAGGACAAGCAACAGGAUUGAACUUCUGCAAUGGUGAUGAUGAUUAGUAGCAGGGAAGGUCUGCUGCUCAACUUCCAAAGGGCCCCAUCUUCCCUCUGCCCCACAUCUUGUAUGGACACUCUUUCUGCAGGCUCCCGGUUCUACUAUCUGCAGCAAUAUAUCAGCAAUAGCAGGUUGGUGGAAGGAGUUUUCCUUAUGAAAGAUCUGGGGCUCCGUUUUGGCAUUUGCCAUGCAAUGACACAUCCAAGAGAUGUAGUAAUCAGAAUCACAUCAACCUCCAGUUUCUUUAACUUUCAUGUUCAGACCUGAAGGACUAUUCAACAGGGGGAAAGGAAUAUACCACAGAUUCUAGGGCCCUGUGCCUUCAGCUGUAGGUGCCUCUGGAUUGCUAUAUUGUCAGCCAGUCUUACAGAGGUCAUUUGGGACUGAGACCUGAGAAAACCCUGAAUGUGAAGUGGAAAGCUGUAGGAGAUGCAACAAAUCUGGUGGCAGAUGAGGUUCAGAAUCUGGGACAACUUUACACCAUGCAGUCGCAGCAAUAUCAACUGAGAGCUUUAAACCCACUAGUGCUGAAAGCCAGUGCUUCUCAUAGCCCGUGUCACUUCCAGUACAGUCCUUGCUUCUCCCUCCCAAGAGGGAGAUUUGCCAAUUUCCUUGGCAAAUACUAAUGUAGACGUGCUAAGUACUCUAGAUUCAGCUGGAUUGUGUUGAUUAUCACGAUGAUGCAUUUUCCAGCUCUGAGUAGUAUGGGAUACAGAGUGAUGUAGCCAGGUCCAAUAGUAAGGCACUACACUGAGAAUUAUUUCUCUGCCUGUUUAUUGUUGCCUUAAGGGUGAUGAGUUUUUACAUUUUGCACUUUCAAGUUCAAAUGCCCCCAUAGUUUAUCAGGAUCUAAUUGAAGAGGAUUUGGUCUUUGCUAUAUUGGCUUGAGAAGGGUUUGAAUCAAAGACCUCACAAAAAAUAAUGAUAAUUUAAAAAAAAAAAAAAGGAUUCUUUGUGUGUUUCUGCCAAGAGGAAGGCAGCACAUGUGGCAGCCAGCAAUGCCUGCUGGGGGCCUUGCUCCAUGAGAUACUCCAGUGAGGAUGGUGAUCUGCCAUUCUUGGGGCUGAAAUCUAGCUCUGCUGCUGAGUAUUUUCAACAUCUUAAUCAGUGAUCCGAUAUUCUUGCAUCUCAGCUACCCUUUCUGAAGGUAUGAGUUACCUCACUCUAGGGGUUGUUGUGAAGAUAACUAAUUGUAGAGAUUCUACUACAGUUAACCCAAUUAUUGCUGUACCAAGGAACACAUAGAUGUGGAUAGGGAUGAUUUGCAGAGAUGGUCUUGCCAGCUCCUGCCGAAGAUCAGAACAGCCUGUGUCUAGAGUCAAAUCAUCUGAGAUGAAGUCUGCAUUACACUGAUGUAGUUGGAAGAGGGAUAGAGCCCUUAGCUAUAUUAUAUAUAUUUCGAUAUAGACAGAGGCAAUCCACCAAAGCAAGACACUAUAGCACAUAACUCACAUGUGCCUGUGUGCACCUGGGUAUGUGAGAGACAGAGAGAAAGAUGAGAUAUAUUGGGAAACAUAUGAAAGAUGAGACUGGAGAGAUAAUUUCCAGAAAGUACAGCCACCAUCAGAAACUCUGUCUUUCCAGCUGGCAGGUUUUGCCUUGCUGGCGUUUCUCUCUUAACUUGACAGCUCAACUCUUAGCCUAGCUGAUAGUCUUUGCCUAGAAACUUAAUUAGAAUGGGGGGGUAGAGAAGGAACAGGCCUUUUUGCCUCUUGGCACAGAACUGAAAAUAACUGAGUUUAAUACCUUUGACACUGAAGUACCUGCUAAGGACACAAACUGCUGUGCAGCUGAUUGACCCAUGUGUCGCUUCUCUUGUCUUCAAGGUGUGCCACCUGGCUGUGGAAUCAUGUGCGAGGCUCCAAGGGUCUGUAUUUCCAAUGGCACAAGGCUCCAAGGGUCUGUAUUUCCUAUGGCACAAGGCAGUAUGAGAGAAUGUGAAAAGGGAGAGAUUCAGGCUCAGCAGCGGCUGGUGGUCCUUGGGUAUUUCAUUUUUCUCUUUCUGGUGCAGUAGGUUAUUUUCUGUACUUGCAAGUGAGUGCUGUGCUGCAGUCAGCCGUGAACAUUUCAGUUGGCCCGGCUGGCCUCUGGCUUUAAUGCUCUUCUCUGGGCUUUCUCUGUGUAAAGAGGUGAAGUAAACAGAUUGGAACCUUACACUCGUAUAUAUAUAAUUAAUCGUGUACUGAUUUUAUGCUAGUAAAAAAUAAUAUUGUGCUUAUUUCUGGCAGAAAACGACCAGCUGAGGCAACAGGCCAGAGAUUCCUCCAGUACUGUUUCAUGGAGUAAUAGAAUAUCCUGAGUUUGAAAGGACCCACAAGAAUCCAGCUCCUGGAGGGGACUCUUUGAAGUAUAGCAGCUCCCAGCUAAGUGCUGAUUUCUUCAGAGAGAUGGAGCCCUUGAUGCCAUUUCUGAUUACCUCCAGGUGGUAAGGAAGGUAUUUAGUGAUUCUGGGGUAUUUGGCCUCUUUCCUAUACACACUGCAGGGAACCACCUGUGAUGAUGGCUUUAAGUUAUGGGGUUUGGGUCUCUCCUCACUGAGAAGUGAAAGCCCCAGAGCUUCUCUUACACUGCCCAAUGGUGUGGUUAUCAUGAAUGCAGAUGAGAUCUUUCAACCUUUAUACCGCCAGCAAAAGGCAACGUCGCUGCUAUGAGAACUAGUUUUCAGGAAGUUUAACCCUCCAAAAAUUUGGAGUCAUCUUUACAGCUUUCAAGGAAGGACUGAGUGGAGCAGAGGAAGUGGUUACCAGUGCUUUGAAGUCAUCUUCCUCACUAUCUUUCUUUUAGUGUUCUUCUACCAUGCACCAUGAGGCCUGGUCAGGAUGUUACCUUGAAGUAGACACAUGUUGCAGAAACCAAGAAUUAUAGAUGGGCUUGGUUUGGAAGGGACCUCAAAGAUCAUCUAGUUCCAACCCUCCUGCCACAGGUAGGGAUGCUGGCUGCCAGAUCAGGCACUACAUUUGGACAUUAGCUGAAUUCUGAGCCUGGUUCAGCACACCCACCCUCUGAGCAGAGCGGCACAAAGACAGACAAAAAGGAUCUUGUCAGCCUUUCCAUCAACCAGGUGAGACAAAAUAGGGUUUUAAUACUCAACUGAAUUGUACAAUAUUGAACCUGUUCAGACUUAGGAAAUGCCUUUAAGUUAGAGAUCAGGCAGUGAGGUACCACCAGUAUAAUUGUGACUAUGCAACAGUCCAUAAUGCAUCAGCCCUAAUGUGAAUUUAUUACUGAAGGCUCAGUGCUGAUACCUGUGUUAAGGCUCCGAACACUGCCCAGUGUGAACUAUGUGUUUCCACAAGACUGAGCAGACCCAGACAGAGCUGAUUGCUCUUGCAGUUAAUAAAAAGCGCUGCACUUUCUCUCUUGACA
ensembl:lncRNA